rnacentral:pre_miRNA from 1 species
CAAGUACUCCCUCCGUCCCAAAAUUCUUGUCUUAGAUUUGUCUAGAUAUGGAUGUAUCUAAUACUAAAACGUGACUUGAUACAUCUGUAUUUAGACAAAUCUAAGACAAGAAUUUUGGGACGGAGGGAGUAGUAA